rnacentral:rRNA from 1 species
UACAGAGGUCCCAAGCGUUGUUCGGAUUCAUUGGGCGUAAAGGGUGCGUAGGUGGCGCCGUAAGUCGGGUGUGAAAUUUCGGAGCUUAACUCCGAAACUGCAUUCGAUACUGCGGUGCUUGAGGACUGGAGAGGAGACUGGAAUUCAUGGUGUAGCAGUGAAAUGCGUAGAGACCAUGAGGAAGACCAGUGGCGAAGGCGGGUCUCUGGACAGUUCCUGACACUGAGGCACGAAGGCCAGGGGAGCAAACGGG